UACGUAGGGGGCAAGCGUUAUCCGGAUUUACUGGGUGUAAAGGGAGCGCAGACGGCGCGGCAAGUCCGGAGUGAAAGCCCGGGGCCCAACCCCGGGACUGCUCUGGAAACUGCGGCGCUCGAGUGCCGGAGGGGCAGGCGGAAUUCCUAGUGUAGCGGUGAAAUGCGUAGAUAUUAGGAGGAACACCAGUGGCGAAGGCGGCCUGCUGGACGGCAACUGACGUUGAGGCUCGAAAGCGUGGGGAGCAAACAGG
rnacentral:rRNA from 1 species